rnacentral:rRNA from 1 species
GAUGAACGCUGGCGGCGUGCCUAAUACAUGCAAGUCGAGCGAACAGACGAGGAGCUUGCUCUUCUGAGGUUAGCGGCGGACGGGUGAGUAACACGUGGAUAACCUACCUAUAAGACUGGGAUAACUUCGGGAAACAGGAGCUAAUACCGGAUAAUAUGUUGAACCGCAUGGUUCAAGAGUGAAAGACGGUUUUGCUGUCACUUAUAGCUGGAUCCGCGCCGCAUUAGCUAGUUGGUAAGGUAACGGCUCACCAAGGCAACGAUGCGUAGCCGACCUGAGAGGGUGAUCGGCCACACUGGAACUGAGACACGGUCCAGACUCCUACGGGAGGCAGCAGUAGGGAAUCUUCCGCAAUGGGCGAAAGCUUGACGGAGCAACGCCGCGUGAGUGAUGAAGGUCUUCGGAUCGUAAAACCCUGUUAUUAGGGAAGAACAAAUGUGUAAGUAACUAUGCACGUCUUGACGGUACCUAAUCAGAAAGCCACGGCUAACUACGUG